AGUAAUAUAUGUGACUUAGAAACAUCUGCAUGAAUCCAUUGGUGAUUUUCCACAGCAUCUGUGGGGGCUGCUCUGUGGUCACUUGGUGGUCAUAACCUUGGAUGUAGAAGAGAUUUUCCAUUUACCAAGCAGACUGAAAGACUGGGAGUAUUCGGAGACUGUUGGUUUCUUGGGGAAGAUAUUUUCUAUAUUUGCUGUAGCUGGGCUGAAACUCUGAAUGUAACCAAGCUGGUCUCAAACUUGAAAUAAUCUUCCUGUUUCUACUUUCCAAGUACUGGGAUUGCAGAUAUGUACCUCCAGGCCUGGUAAGACAUCUAUCUAUCUAUCUAUCUAUCUAUCUAUCUAUCUAUCUAUCUAUCUAUCUAUCUAUCUAUCUAUCUAUCUAUCUUUUAUUAUUAUUGUGUUACUUUUGUUUGUUUGAUUUUUGAAACAGAGUCUAUCUACAUUGGCCUGGCUGUCCUGGAUCUCACUGUAUUGAGCAGCCUGGCUGCAGACUCACAGAGAUCUGCCUACCUCCUUGCCCAAUUGAAAAUGAUAUUUUAAAUUGCUCACUUUUAAUACCUCAUUUUCUAGACAAAGAAACCAAGGCUUAGAACAUGAAACUAAGGUGACAGAUUUUUUUUUUAAUUCAGGAGCUAAUGAAGAAAUAUCACAAUGGACAGGGUUGUUUUAGUUGAUGGAAAAGAAAAUCACUGGUUGGGGUGGCAGAUGUGAAAUUUGGAGUGUUUAUUAGAUUAAGAGACUGUGUAAUUGCACAUCAAUAAGAGAUAAUAGGCUUUGAUGUUAUAAGCUCUUAUAUUGCUUUUCAAUGGCAUUUCACUGUUGUUAAAUAUCAUUCUAGAAUAUUCCUUUAGAUGGCAGCAAAGAGAAAGGAAAGUCUCUUUAUCCUCCCUACACACACUCACAAUAAGCUCAAUUCUAUGGACACUCCCUUUGUCUAUGCUUAUUUUCAUGAAUCAAAAACAUUCUUAUCUACCCAUCCUGUCUGGACUCAAUGCUACCCUCACAUCUCAAUAUUGCACAGAAUUUAGAGAGUUUAUUUAUUUAUUUAUUUAUUUAUUCAUUCAUUNNUUCAUUUUAUUUUAUUUUAUUGGUAGAGAGUCUUUUAAUCACUUAAGAUUUUGAAAUAAAUCUGCAAAUGUUGUGUUGGAUCUUAAAUGAAGCUAGUUCAGUUUUAAUAUGUCACUUAUUGAUUCAGGUUUCAGAUCUAGUACCACUUUUAAAUGAAUAGUGUCUCAGUUAACAUGUCUAAAAUCAGUUUUAAAAGUAUUUUGAUAUGAUGUGUGACUUAUUUAUUCUUCUCUCAAACAAUGCACCCCUACUGGAAUGAGUUCCACUUCUCAGGGCUGAUUAUCAGCUCACUUGGUAGUAGGAGUGAUGGUUAGUAAUAAUGUUCCUUGACAGAAUGCAGGAUCACUAAAGAAACAAACUACUGGGUGUGUCCAUGAAGGAAUUUCUAGAUCAUGGUAACUGCAGUGAAAAUACCCACACUGAAUGUCUCUGGCAUCAUUUCGUAGACCGAGGUAUUAGACUGAAUAAAAAGGAGAAAGUGGGGCUGGUGAGAGGGUACAGACCACCUACUGCAUUGACUGAGCAAACUCACUGGUCUGAGUUCAAUCCCUGGUCAGAGGUUGAAGGAGUAAACAAACUCUACAAAGUUGUCGUUUGACCUCUACAAAUGCGUCAUAAGAUACGCAUGCAUGCAUGCAUGCUUGCACAUAGAUGCGCAUGAGCACGUGCACACACACACACACACACACACACACACACACACACACACACACACACACAUGCUCUCUCACACACACAGACAGAGGUAUGCAUGUAUGCACACAGGCAUCCACACAUGUUUGCAUUAAUAAGAAUGCAAUUUCAAACUUGAUUAUUCUUUAUUUCUAGGAAUGUGACUGACCGACUUAUGCUCCCAUUAUCAUGCCUUCCCUAUCACCUUCUCUGUAACUUCAACUUAUGAACCAGAACAAACCCUUCUCAAGAUGCUUAUUUUGUUGGAAAUGGUUGUCUUGUUACAGCAACAGGAAGAGUGACUAAUUAAGUGGGAGAAAAAACGGGAAACGCUCACUUACAUAUGGGACCGACACUUUUGUGCUAGUAUUGGCAUCAUCUGAAGGGGAACUCUGUUCCAUUCUACCAUGGUCAAACUCUUCAGGGAGAAAUUGGUUCACAAGGACAGCCCCAGGAGGCCUCAGGAUCUAACACAGGUGUGAGGAAUGCCAGAGUGAUUUCUCUGGGCCUCAGGGAACUUGUGCCUAGAUACUCUCUUUCCUAUAAUGGCCCCUUAGGCUUGCAAGUUCCUGUGAGGAAUUUUCUAAGACCUGGCAACAUUCCCCUUCAAUAACAGCCCCACUUUUCUGUCUAAUGUUUAAGAGUAAUCUUGGGGUCUAGGAUUGUGACUCAGUGGGAGAGCAUUGGCUUGGCAUAUACAAGGCCCUGGGUUUAAUUCUCCGCAUGGAAGGUAUAAAGGAGAAAAAUAAUACUUACUCGAGGAACACUUAUUUUAAAGCACUUAUUUAGUAGUCUAUUACAUUCUGUUCUUUCCAAUUAGAAAUUUUAUGAAAUUAGGUUAACAGUGUUUCCUUCUCUAUAUCAUUCAUUCCUACUUAUUACUACGGUUUACUAUUUAUUAAUGAGUUUAUUCAAUAAGGAACUGUUUUCUCUACUGAAGCAUUAGCUGUUGUAGAUCACUAGAUCCCAUUUUGGUGGGAGAAAUUACUGUAUAGUCUGACCUUAUUCUUAUAAUAGUUUUUAAUU
ensembl:antisense Gm15356 predicted gene 15356